rnacentral:rRNA from 1 species
GACGAACCGUGCGAACGUUGUUCGGAAUCACUGGGCUUAAAGGGUGCGUAGGCGGGCUGCCAAGUCUGGGGUGAAAUCCCACGGCUCAACCGUGGAACUGCCUCGGAUACUGGCGGUCUCGAGGGAGGUAGGGGCAUGCGGAACUGUGGGUGGAGCGGUGAAAUGCGUUGAUAUCCACAGGAACUCCGGUGGCGAAAGCGGCGUGCUGGACCUCUUCUGACGCUGAGGCGCGAAAGCUAGGGGAGCAAACGGG